GUGGGUGUGCCGGAGUGGUCAAACGGGGAAGCCUCAAGAGCUUCUGUGCUUAGUGCCUUCCUAGGUUCGAAUCCUAGCACCCACA
rnacentral:tRNA from 1 species